UGCGCAUGUGCCGAUUUUCACCAUUACGUCUACCCUGUAGAUCCGAAUUUGUAUGAAAUUUCAUAAACAAAUUCGUAUUUGCGGCGUAAUAUGUAGUGAGUGACUUAAACAUCAGCCUGU
rnacentral:pre_miRNA from 10 species